rnacentral:tRNA from 1 species
CAGGGUGUAGCGCAGAGGUAGCGCGUCUGUUUUGGGUACAGAAGGUCAUAGGUUCAAAUCCUGUUACCCUGA